GUUCUAUCUCGGCCUUUUGGCUAAGAUCAAGUGUAGUAUCUGUUCUUACCAGUUUUAUUUGAAUGGAAAGGCAAAUUUCAGAAUUGGGGAUCUUGUAGAGCUAGAUCAAGUGCUUAUAGGAUCAGUCUGUGAGUUUUGGGGUGGACAAAGCCCCUGAGGGAAGGGUGCUUUCUCCCAGCUAGGCAUGUGUAUUAUCCAUCUUUGAUUUGCCUAUCACUUG
rnacentral:snRNA from 1 species